GAUGAACGCUGGCGGCGUGCCUAAUACAUGCAAGUCGAACGAAACUUCUUUAUCACCGAGUGCUUGCACUCACCGAUAAAGAGUUGAGUGGCGAACGGGUGAGUAACACGUGGGCAACCUGCCCAAAAGAGGGGGAUAACACUUGGAAACAGGUGCUAAUACCGCAUAACCAUAGUUACCGCAUGGUAACUAUGUAAAAGGUGGCUAUACUACCGCUUUUGGAUGGGCCCGCGGCGCAUUAGCUAGUUGGUAGGGUAAAGGCUUACCAAGGCAAUGAUGCGUAGCCGAAGUGAGAGGUUGAUCGGCCACAUUGGGACUGAGACACGGCCCAAACUCCUACGGGAGGCAGCAGUAGGGAAUCUUCCACAAUGGGCGAAAGCCUGAUGGAGCAACGCCGCGUGGGUGAAGAAGGUCUUCGGAUCGUAAAACCCUGUUGUUAGAGAAGAAAGUGCGUGGGAGUAACUGUUCACGUUUCGACGGUAUCUAACCAGAAAGCCACGGCUAACUACGUG
rnacentral:rRNA from 1 species